CUGGAGAGAACAGCCUCUCUCCUACCUGCUUCCUGGGAGGAAGCCAGCAAUUCCCCCCUUUUACCUGCCUAGCAGGGAGGGGUUUAUUCCCACUGCAACAGCUGAUUAACUGCAGCUGAGCAGUGGGUUGGAGACGGUCCAAAAAACCCUGGCCUGGAUCUAUGUCUCCCCAGAAAACCACUAAACUGUGGAGUGGAGCAUUGGCCCACCCUUCUCUCCAAAUGCUCCACCCCAGGGGCCCAUAACUAAACAAAGCUUUGUGUUGUGCAACACACAAACUACACAUACUUCCCCUGGGGUUAAAAGGCCUAUCUGCCUUCACUUUAUCACAGUAUAUAU